GGAUGAAUGGCUGAGUGGUUUAAGGCAUAAUACUUGAAAUAUUACACACUUUCUGGUGUCAUGAGUUCAAAUCUCAUUUUAUCCG
rnacentral:tRNA from 1 species